rnacentral:misc_RNA from 1 species
GAUGAAGAACGCAGCGAAAUGCGAUAAGGAGUGUGAAUUGCAGAAUUCAGUGAAUCAUCGAAUCUUUGAACGCACAUUGCGCCCUUUGGUAUUCCAAAGGGCAUGCCUGUUCGAGCGUCAUUUGUACCCUCAAGCUUUGCUUGGUGUUGGGCGUCUUGUCUCUAGCUUUGCUGGAGACUCGCCUUAAAGUAAUUGGCAGCCGGCCUACUGGUUUCGGAGCGCAGCACAAGUCGCACUCUCUAUCAGCAAAGGUCUAGCAUCCAUUAAGCCUUUUUUUCAACUUUUGACCUCGGAUCAGGUAGGGAUACCCGAUGAACUUAAGCAUAUCAAUAAGCGGAGGA